rnacentral:rRNA from 1 species
UACGUAGGUCCCGAGCGUUGUCCGGAUUUAUUGGGCGUAAAGCGAGCGCAGGUGGUUUAUUAAGUCUGGUGUAAAAGGCAGUGGCUCAACCAUUCUAUGCAUUGGAAACUGGUAGACUUGAGUGCAGGAGAGGAGAGUGGAAUUCCAUGUGUAGCGGUGAAAUGCGUAGAUAUAUGGAGGAACACCGGUGGCGAAAGCGGCUCUCUGGUCUGUAACUGACACUGAGGCUCGAAAGCGUGGGGAGCAAACAGG